UUCCCGGUGUAGCGGUGAAAUGCGUAGAUAUCGGGAAGAACACCAGUGGCGAAGGCGNUCUGCUGGGCCAUUACUGACGNUCAUGGACGAAAGCCAGGGGAGCGAAAGGGAUUAGAUACCCCUGUAGUCCUGGCCGUAAACGAUGAACACUAGGUGUCGGGGGAAUCGACCCCUUCGGUGUCGUAGCUAACGCGUUAAGUGUUCCGCCUGGGGAGUACGCACGCAAGUGUGAAACUCAAAGGAAUUGACGGGGGCCCGCACAAGCGGUGGAGUAUGUGGUUUAAUUCGAUGCAACGCGAAGAACCUUACCAGGGUUUGACAUCCUGCGAACCUCUUAGAAAUUUGAGGGUGCCUUCGGGAAUGCAGUGACAGGUGGUGCAUGGCUGUCGUCAGCUCGUGUCGUGAGAUGUUGGGUUAAGUCCCGCAACGAGCGCAACCCACGUUUUUAGUUGCCAGCAUUUAGUUGGGCACUCUAGAAAGACCGCCGGUGAUAAACCGGAGGAAGGUGUGGAUGACGUCAAGUCAUCAUGCCCCUUACACCCUGGGCUACACACGUACUACAAUGCCACGGACAAAGGGCAGCAAACUCGCGAGAGCUAGCAAAUCCCAUAAACCGUGGCUCAGUUCAGAUCGUAGGCUGCAACUCGCCUACGUGAAGUAGGAAUCGCUAGUAAUCGCAGGUCAGCAUACUGCGGUGAAUACGUUCCCGGGCCUUGUACACACCGCCCGUCACACCAUGGAAGUUGGCCAUGCCCGAAGUCGUUACUCCAACCCUUGUGGAGGAGGACGCCGAAGGUGGGGCUAAUGACUGGGGUGAAGUCGUAACAAGGUAGCC
rnacentral:rRNA from 1 species